CGCGGCCGCUGCACCCCGAGCUGGAGGAGGGAGAAGCCAGGAAGAAAAUGGCGGCCGUGGCUGCAGAGGCGGCAGCGACUGCAGCGUCGCCCGGGGAGGGGGGCGCCGGCGAGGCCGAGCCGGAGAUGGAGCCGAUCCCCGGCAGCGAGGCCGGCACUGACCCCCUCCCGGUCACGGCGACUGAGGCGUCUGUGCCGGACGGCGAGGCCGACGGGCAGCAGCCCUCUCCUCGGGCCGACGAGCCGCCGCCGCCGCCGCCGCCGCCGCCGCCGCCGCCGCCGCCGGGGGAGCCCGCCCGCAGCCCCGAGGCGGCGGGGCCGGAGCUGGAGGCGGAGGAGAAGCUGCCGGCCCGGGCGGCGGAGCCGGCGGCGGCCGCGCCCCCGGGGCCCGCCGACCUCCCGCCUGCCCCCGCCGCGCCGCCCGCGCAGCCCCCCGCGCCCGAGGAGCCGCCGCCGCCGCCGCCGCCGCCGCCGCCGCCGCCCGCAGCCCCGGCGCUCGUGGACUCGGCGGUGUCGCAGCUGAUCCCCGGCGCGGAGGUGCGGGUCACGCUGGACCACAUCAUCGAGGACGCGCUCGUCGUGUCGUUCCGUCUGGGGGAGAAGCUCUUCUCCGGGGUCCUCAUGGAUCUGUCCAAAAGGUUUGGGCCCCAUGGGAUCCCUGUGACAGUGUUUCCCAAAAGGGAAUAUAAGGAUAAACCUGAAGCCAUGCAGCUCCAAAGUAAUACAUUCCAAGAAGGGACAGGAGUCAAGUGUGAAGUGAAUGGUGCUGUUCCCGAUGACCCUUCUCCCAUCUCGCCUCCCGAGCCAGGCUUGGCUGAAAGCCUAUGGACUUCCAAACCGCCACCUCUCUUCCAUGAAGGAGCACCUUACCCUCCCCCUUUGUUUAUCAGGGACACCUAUAACCAGUCAAUACCUCAGCCACCGCCUCGGAAAAUUAAGCGACCCAAACGAAAAAUGUACAGGGAAGAACCUACUUCAAUAAUGAAUGCUAUUAAACUGCGACCCAGGCAAGUCCUGUGUGACAAAUGUAAAAACAGUGUUGUUGCAGAGAAAAAAGAAAUUAGAAAAGGUAGUAGUGCAAGUGACUCUUCUAAAUAUGAAGAUAAAAAACGGAAAAACGAAAGUGUAACUACUGUGAACAAAAAACUGAAAACUGACCAUAAAGUGGAUGGGAAAAACCAAAAUGAAAGCCAGAAAAGAAAUGCUGUGGUUAAGGUUUCCAAUAUUGCUCACAGCAGAGGCAGAGUAGUCAAAGUUUCUGCUCAGGCAAAUACAUCAAAAGCUCAGUUAAGUACUAAAAAAGUGCUCCAGAGUAAGAACAUGGAUCAUGCAAAAGCUCGGGAAGUGUUGAAAAUUGCCAAAGAAAAGGCACAAAAGAAGCAAAGUGAAACCUCUACAUCCAAAAAUGCACAUUCAAAAGUCCAUUUCACACGUCGGUAUCAGAGUCCUAGCUCAGGUUCCCUUCCACCCCGGGUUCGUUUAAAACCACAAAGGUACAGGAAUGAAGAAAAUGACUCUUCUUUGAAGACAGGACUUGAGAAAAUGCGGAGUGGCAAGAUGGCACCCAAGCCCCAGUCUCGCUGCACCUCUACCCGCUCAGCAGGUGAGGCCCCUUCAGAAAAUCAGAGUCCCUCAGAAGGCCCUGAAGAGGCCAGCAGUGAGGUUCAGGACACAAAUGAAGUGCUUGUGCCUGGUGAGCAGGAUGAACCACAGACACUGGGCAAAAAGGGCAGCAAAAGCAAUAUCUCUGUUUACAUGACCCUAAAUCAAAAGAAAUCUGACUCUUCCAGUGCUUCAGUGUGUAGCAUUGAUAGCACAGAUGAUUUGAAAUCCUCCAACUCUGAGUGUAGUUCUUCUGAAAGCUUUGAUUUUCCUCCAGGCAGUAUGCAUGCACCUUCCACCUCCUCCACUUCCUCCUCUUCAAAGGAAGAGAAAAAGCUCAGUAAUUCCUUGAAAAUGAAAGUCUUUUCCAAAAACGUCUCUAAAUGCGUCACACCAGAUGGCAGGACCAUAUGUGUAGGGGACAUUGUUUGGGCCAAGAUCUAUGGCUUCCCUUGGUGGCCAGCCCGUAUUCUUACUAUAACUGUGAGCCGGAAUGAUAACGGCCUUUUAGUCCGACAGGAGGCCCGUAUUUCAUGGUUUGGGUCUCCAACAACCUCUUUUCUUGCUCUUUCGCAACUCUCCCCCUUUUUAGAAAACUUCCAGUCACGCUUUAAUAAGAAGAGAAAGGGCCUGUAUCGCAAGGCUAUCACAGAGGCGGCUAAGGCUGCCAAGCAGCUGACCCCUGAAGUGCGGGCUCUGUUGACACAGUUUGAAACGUGAACAUGGACAGUAAGCACAAAGACAUUAGCAGGCUGCUGGUUUCAUGGACCUGUACCACAGUGACACCACACCAGAGCAUCAGGACUGAAUGCCAUUGGAGACUCAGAUGUUUAAAGCUGCACUGAGAAGUCCGUUCCCAAUGGAGAGGACAAUGGGAGUAAAAGGGAAAGAAAUCCUUAAUCAUUGGAGCUAUAGGUUCCUUCCCACCAUCCUGCUUGUUAGCAGCUUUCUCUGAGGCGUCCCACCUUGAAGUAAAGCCCAGGUAAAGAACUUCUAGACACACAGCCUUUAAACAUCAAGGUCUUUUCUGAUAAUUCAUGGAAAAAACUUUUGGUCUCAGUCUAGACUUAGACCCCAGAGCUCACCAUAUUCUGGGGAAGCUCCCAGAACCCAGGCUGACCAUUCUGCAGGCAGGCAUCCCCCAGCCUAAACCUGAACACAUAAUGCUGAGCAUGCCCAUCUGAGGAGAACUGCUGGCACAGUUCAGCCCUGCACAUGGGUGCCGACUAGGGCAUGGUCUCCAACAGAUGGAUGCACAGGUAGGGGCCACAACCAGCACAGAGGAGGGGGCACCCUUGGGUAGGUGUGAGUUCCCCAGAACCCUGGCAGUCUGCUCUGGGGUUGAGGAAGGAGGACAGGGAGGGAACAAACAUUUAAAGAAGCCGAGUAAAAUGUCGCCGCUGGCACAAUCCCUGGCUCUCCUGACACAGAGGGAGUUAAGUGAGAAUGAAUCUCCAGGAGUCACAUCACACUUCCUGAAACCGGCAGGGCCACCCUACACGAACAAGCCUCUGCUCAGGUCCCUAUCCCUCCCCCUGCCCCUGGAAGGAGAGCCCACUGCAAGUCCAUCUCACUGCAGAGCAAGCACUGAAAGCGCCAACUGUAAAGUAUCUACUAUGUGAUGCAGCAGGAGCUCCGGAGUAGUUUAUUCUCGGCUUCUGAGAAACUCUGUCUGGCAGGGUGACAAACACAGGACUAAAGUGGGCCCUGGGCAGAAGCUCCCCGGCCUGUGCAGGGGUGGCAAGACAGGCAUCUCAGAGAGAGUACACUCGACAGUGCCCUAAGGUCCUGGCAGUUCCAGGACGCUGGUGUGACCCUGUGUUCCACAGGUGGCAGGGGGACAAGCCUUCCAGCUGCAGAUGGAAAGGGACAGUUAGGACCUCUUGCAGGUUUCCACUUGGCCUGACUGGGGGAGGAAACUGCCUGCCACCAUGAGCCUCGCAUAUUUUGCUUCUCUAGAGUGGCAUGUGUGCAAAUGUGCUUCUCUGGCCACAGGUGCCAGGGUGGCUGUGCUGCAUGCCAGGGCUGUGCUGCAUGCCAGGGCUGUGCAUCCCUGUCGCCUGCCGACGGAGCCCAACAGAGCCCGGCAGCGGCAGGUAAGGUACUCCCACAGGCAACUGUAGCUCCUCAGUGGCUCUGCUGGAACUCUCUCAGCACUAGGUCCUCGCGGUUUGUGACUUUUCCUAGCCAGCAUCCCUCUCUCUGCCACGGGCAACGCCAGCUCUCUGCUCCACACUCAGCUUCGGCUCCCGCCCCUCCACCCACUCCUCCUACAGGUGUUCCCCCUAUCAGUCUCUGGAACUUCUCAUCUGACCUUGCUUCUCUCUCUGGGACUCAACCUACACUUAAGGCGAUCAUUCUUCUUCUGUCCGUUCUCAGCCUUUAGAAUAUUCUACAAUAGUUUUACUACAUUAUCUCCAGAACAGAACAGGACAUGGGAAGUUCCACUUGCUCAAUGAGACAAUGGACACGAAGUGCCUGAGGUAACUUAUUCGCCAUACACAAUAAGAAAGUCUCCACAUCAGAGAAGACCUGAGGUUACCAGACCUGAAUUCGACCAACAGUCCUAAAUUUAUGUGAUGGCAUCCUGCUGUGUGUGCUGGGGAUGCAGAGACAGGAGAAUCACUGCACCAGAAUAAGCUGAGACGUGAUGGGGAAGACGAGACACACACACAGAAGGCAGCUCAGUGUUAAGCUGAGAUACAGAGUGCCAGGAGAGUUAGUAAGAAGAUUCCUCCCUGGACAAGCAGGGAGGAGGGGAGAUCUGGUCUUUUCUAAGAGUGUACACAGGAAUUCCUACCUAAGAACAGACAGGACCACGGCCAUCCGAGAUGGAGGGAGUGGGCAGGGCAGGCAAAAAUGGUUUAAAUAAAUGUAUAGAGAAGGGCGGGCAAGGGCGAGCAGUGUGUCCAGUGGGUUCCAAGCUGGAUGGAAGGGCACAUCCUGGCAUGUUCUUAUGAGCCAGGCCAGAGGUCUCUGGUUCUUGUGCCACAGGGAAGGUCACUGAUGGCUUGAGAACUGAACUUUAAGGGUUAAUAACGCUGUGGCAAAGGGAAGAAUGAAUCAAAAGACAAGAGCCUGGGGACACCUGGGUGGCUCAGUGGUUGACCAUCUGCCUUUUGCAUAGGGCAUGAUCCCAGGGUACUGGGAUCCAGUCCCCCAUCAGGCUCCCCAUGGAGAGCCUGCUUCUUCCUCUGCCUGUGUCUCUGCCUCUUUCUCUGUGUCUCUCAUGAAUAAAUAAAAUCUUUUAAAAACAAAGAAAGAGUCUGGAGGGGAUUCUGACAGAAAGUUAGUGCAGCAUCAUGGGAAAGAAGCCAUUUAUUCACUGAACAAACAUUCGAAUAUCUAUAAUGUUGGAAAGAAGUUCUGAGGGAUGCCUGGUUGGCUCAGUUGGCAGAGCACACAACUCUUGAUCUCGGGGUUGUAAGUUCAAGCUCCAGGUUGGGUGUAGAGAUUACUUAAAAAUAAAAUCUUAAGGGGUGCUAGCUGGCUCAGUCGGUUAAGUGUCUGACCCUUGAUUUCAGUUCAGAUCAUGACCUUAGGGUUGUGAGACUAAGCCCCAUGUCAGUGCCUAGCACGGAGCCUGCUUAAGAUUCUUUCCCUCUCCCUCUGCUCCUCCCCACUCCCUAAAAAAAGAACAAUAAUUAAAAAAAAUAAAAUCUUAAAAAAAAAAUAGCAGCUCUGAAAUCAGACUGAGGCCAAUGAGAACAGAAGGGAACAGAGCAAAACAUUAUGGUAGAACCAACAAAUUUUUGGUUUAUGAAAAAUUCAUCUUUUGCUGUUUAUGGCAAAAACAGAGAAACACCUUCAGUAGAGAUGAUGCUCAUAAAUACAUAUACAAUCACACUGAGUUUUCCUGUUGCUGUUUAGAGUCAGGUUGGAUGCUCAGAGACUAAGGCAGCCUGCCUUCUGGUCCCUAAGACAGGAUCAUUUGCUAAAUUAGCCUGUCUGCCACCCUUUCCGCUGGCUGCCAAGUUCGACACCCUUCCGGCUAUGAGGGCCGUACCCAGCUGGAAUUCCUAAUUUCCAUUUGUUACAGAUCUGGUACCAUCACUCAGCCAGAACGUGUCAACAUGUCCUUGACUUAGGAUCUCCUCUGUGAGACUAGAUUGCAGGCAAAGAGAAGAGUCCAAAACUGUGCUCAGACCAGAACGUUUAGGACUAGAGAUCGACGCCUGUCACUGGAUCCAGAUUUGAUAAAUCAUAGUUUUCAUGCUUCCAAGCAACAUGGUAUCACAAUAACCCACGGACUCAUUAUGUGUAACUGCUCUUUGGAGAUACUAACUGUGCAGUAGUCCAUUUACCCUGAAGAGAGCCAGGAAUGCCAUUUGUUAAGAUCCCUGGGGUUUGGGCCCCAUGGGAUACACCUGAAUCCU